rnacentral:rRNA from 1 species
UACAGAGGUGGCAAGCGUUGUUCGGAAUUACUGGGCGUAAAGGGCGAGUAGGCGGCCUCCUAAGUCAGACGUGAAAUCCCCCGGCUUAACCUGGGAACUGCGUCUGAUACUGGACGGCUAGAGUAUGGGAGAGGGAUGUAGAAUUCCAGGUGUAGCGGUGAAAUGCGUAGAUAUCUGGAGGAAUACCGGUGGCGAAGGCGGCAUCCUGGACCAUUUACUGACGCUGAGGCGCGAAAGCUAGGGGAGCAAACGGG